UAUAUCUUGGUGUAUGGUGCACGGUAGCUUUUGAUGCUUUGAGUAAUAGUUUAAUUCUAUUAGAUAUAA
rnacentral:tRNA from 1 species